UCCGGUUGAUCUUGCCGGACCUGACUGCUAUCGGAUUGAUACUAAGCCAUGCGAGUCUUUGCAGUAAUGCAAGGCAUACGGCUCAGUAACACGUAGUCAACUUACCCUAUGGACGAGGAUAAUCUCGGGAAACUGAGAAUAAUGCCCGAUAGAACAUUAUACCUGGAAUGGUUUAUGUUCCAAAUGAUUUAUCGCCAUAGGAUGGGACUGCGGCCUAUCAGUUUGUUGGUGAGGUAAUGGCCCACCAAGACUAUUACAGGUACGGGCUCUGAGAGGAGUAGCCCGGAGAUGGGUACUGAGACACGGACCCAGGCCCUAUGGGGCGCAGCAGGCGAGAAAACUUUGCAAUGUGCGAAAGCACGACAAGGUUAAUCCGAGUGAUUUCUGCUAAAGAGAUCUUUUGUUAGUCCUAGAAACACUAACGAAUAAGGGGUGGGCAAGUUCUGGUGUCAGCCGCCGCGGUAAAACCAGCACCUCAAGUGGUCAGGAUGAUUAUUGGGCCUAAAGCAUCCGUAGCCGGCUCUGUAAGUUUUCGGUUAAAUCUGUACGCUCAACGUACAGGCUGCCGGGAAUACUGCAGAACUAGGGAGUGGGAGAGGUAGACGGUACUCGGUAGGAAGUGGUAAAAUGCUUUGAUCUAUCGAUGACCACCUGUGGCGAAGGCGGUCUACCAGAACACGUCCGACGGUGAGGGAUGAAAGCUGGGGGAGCAAACCGGAUUAGAUACCCGGGUAGUCCCAGCUGUAAACUAUGCAAACUCAGUGAUGCAUUGGCUUGUGGCCAAUGCAGUGCUGCAGGGAAGCCGUUAAGUUUGCCGCCUGGGGAGUACGGUCGCAAGGCUGAAACUUAAAGGAAUUGGCGGGGGAGCACUGCAACCUGAGGAUUGUGCGGUUUAAUUGGAUUCAACGCCGGA
rnacentral:rRNA from 1 species